AACGUAGGACGCAAGCGUUAUCCGGAGUUACUGGGCGUAAAGCGCGGGCAGGCGGUUGGUCAAGUCUGAUGUGAAAUCUCCUCGCUCAACGGGGAGCAGCCAUUGGAAACUGGGCAACUGGAGUCUGGCAGAGGUAGGCGGAAUUCCGGGUGGAGUGGUGAAAUGCGUAGAGAUCCGGAGGAACACCAGAGGCGAAGGCGGCCUACUGGGCCAGUACUGACGCUGAGCCGCGAAAGCCAGGGGAGCGAACGGG
rnacentral:rRNA from 1 species